rnacentral:rRNA from 1 species
GCAAGACCUGGCGCUUGAAAAGGGGCCCGCGCCUGAUUAGCUAGUUGGUGAGGUAACGGCUCACCAAGGCAACGAUCAGUAUCCGGCCUGAGAGGGCGGACGGACACACUGGGACUGAGACACGGCCCAGACUCCUACGGGAGGCAGCAGUGGGGAAUUGUUCGCAAUGGGCGCAAGCCUGACGACGCAACGGCGCGUGGGGGAUGAGGAUCUUCGGGUCGUAAACGCCUGUCGAAUGAGAAGAGGUACGCGGAUGAAUAAGCCGCGGAAGUGACGGUACCGUUAAAGGAAGCCCCGGCUAACUCCGUGCCAGCAGCCGCGGUAAUACGGGGGGGGCAAGCGUUGUUCGGGUUACUGGGCGUAAAGGGCUCGUAGGUGGCCAACUAAGUCAGACGUGAAAUCCCCAACUUAACCUGGGAACUGCGUCUGAUACUGGAUGGCUUGAAUUCGGGAGAGGGAAGCAGAAUUCCAGGUGUAGCGGUGAGAUGCGUAGAUAUCUGGAGGAAUACCGGUGGCGAAGGCGGCAUCCUGGACCGAGAUUGACACUGAGGAGCGGAAGCUAGGGGAGCAAACGAGAUUAGAUACCCCGGUAGUCCUAGCCCUAAACGAUGAAUGCUUGGUGUGAUGGGUAUCGAUCCCUGUCGUGCCGAAGCUAACGCAUUAAGCAUACCGCCUGGGGAGUACG